AGUGAACGCUGGCGGUAGGCCUAACACAUGCAAGUCGAACGGCAGCACAGUAAGAGCUUGCUCUUACGGGUGGCGAGUGGCGGACGGGUGAGGAAUACAUCGGAAUCUACUUUUUCGUGGGGGAUAACGUAGGGAAACUUACGCUAAUACCGCAUACGACCUACGGGUGAAAGCAGGGGAUCUUCGGACCUUGCGCGAUUGAAUGAGCCGAUGUGGGAUUAGCUAGUUGGCGGGGUAAAGGCCCACAAAGGCGCGGAUCCGUAGCUGGUCUGAGAGGAUGAUCAUCCACACUGGAACUGAGACACGGUCCAGACUCCUACAGGAGGCAGCAGUGGGGAAUAUUGAACAAUGGGCGAAAGCCUGAGCCAGCCAUACCGCGUGGGUGAAGAAGGCCUUCGGGUUGUAAAGCCCUUUUGUUGGGAAAGAAAAGCAGCAGGUUAAUACCCCGCUGUUCUGACGGUACCCAAAGAAUAAGCACCGGCUAACUGCGU
rnacentral:rRNA from 1 species